GGAUAGAGCAGUUUGGUAGCUCGCAAGGCUCAUAACCUUUGAAUCGUGAGUUCAAAUCCUAUCUCCG
rnacentral:tRNA from 1 species